rnacentral:Y_RNA from 1 species
GGUUGAUCUGAAGAUAGUGAGUUAUCUCAACUGAUUGUUCACAGUCAGUUACAGAUCAAACUCCUUGUUCCACUCUUUCCCUCCUUCUCACUACUGUACUUGACUAGUCUUUU